rnacentral:rRNA from 1 species
UACGGGGGGGGCAAGCGUUGUUCGGAUUUACUGGGCGUAAAGGGCGCGUAGGCGGCAAUUCAAGUCAGCUGUGAAAUCUCCGGGCUUAACUCGGAACGGUCAGCUGAUACUGCUUUGCUAGAGUGCGGAAGGGGCAAUCGGAAUUCUCGGUGUAGCGGUGAAAUGCGUAGAUAUCGAGAGGAACACCUGAGGUGAAGACGGGUUGCUAGGCCGACACUGACGCUGACAGCGCGAAAGCCAGGGGAGCAAACGGG